rnacentral:lncRNA from 1 species
CUCCAUUCUGACGUUCCAAAACGUUUCUCUCUUCUUUUUACCAGCAAAUUCCAGUAUCAUCCCACUUUACUAUUUGAAACUCAAUCUUGAGGAAAUUUUAUAUCUAAUUUUAAUUAAGAUGCAUUAAUGAAAGUGCAAGGUGUUAAUUUUUCAGCAUUUCUCCUUUUUUGGUCAGUGUUCACCUGGCAUGUUUGGAGAUGAUUGCCAUCAACUUUGUGACUGUGAAGGAGAAACCUUCUGCCACCCAAAAACUGAAAAAUGCCUCUGCCCCCCUGGGAGAACUGAGUCAGAUGUGAUGCUGGUAAGUCUCCUGUAUUGGGCAUUCAGCGUGAGUGUUGCCUUUCUCUGACCUCAAGACAACUAGCCAACUUUCCCUGUGUCCUUCACAAUGCAACCACUAAAGCUCUACUGAAUACUCUGAUUCUGAGAAGGCACCUUAAAAAUGUAAGUAGCUGUCCUGACUUCUCUUUUCAGUGUUACCACUAAUUUCCUUGACACUCCCAGCCUUCUCCUGUUUUCCAUCGGCGUUCUUACUUUUAUCACAUAGCAUUCUAGCAUGGGAAGAUACCCCAUGGUAAAAAAGAAUACUUUACAAACGUAUAAUUAUCUUAUUGAAUGCCAAGAAGUAAUAGUAAGAACACAGUGUGUUUUUGAAAGCAUAUCUGAAUUGCUUUUAUUUUUAUUUUCUCCCUCAUAGAAUGCAGGCCGGGCCUGUAUGGACCAAACUGUGCUCUCAAGUGUCAGUGUGGUCACGUAGCUCACUGCAGCCCUCUCAGUGGGAGCUGCACUUGCGUUUUUAAGACAAUGGACCCAAUCUAUGAGGAAAGUGGUUCAGAUGAUCCUCAAUAUCCAAAUACUAACAACUUUUCAGUUGGUGAAUAGAAUUUUGCAGACUUUCAUCCAUGGUUUAUUAUUUUAACUUUAACAGAGAAAUGUACUUACUCAGCCAUCUUCAGCCCAUCCCGACCUGUUGUGGGGUAAAUACCAGGAUGUCUCAACUUUGUCAUCUCCAAGCACAAGUCUCAGUCUCUAGCCUAGCCUUCCCAACGGUUUUUUGCUGAAUAAUAUACCCAAUAAUAAGAGAAUGUUAUUUCAGGAUCCCAAUCAUAGUAAUGUUUGGACUAAUAAGUGGACCUUUUUUAUAUGCACAGGAGGUAUUUAAAUUUG